rnacentral:rRNA from 1 species
CGGAUUGGAGUCUGCAACUCGACUCCAUGAAGCUGGAUUCGCUGUAAUCGCGCAUCAGCCAUGGCGCGGUGAAUACGUUCCCGGGCCUUGUACACACCGCCCGUCAAGCCAUGGAAGCCGGGAGUGCCUGAAGUGUGCAACCGCAAGGAGCGCCCUAAGGUAAAACUGGUGACUGGGGCUAAGUCGUAACAAGGUAAC